UGAUGAACGGUAACAUUUGCCGGGACCACAGCAGCCAUCGAUCACAUCGACGUACAGCUAGGAGCUGAUGGAUGAGAUGCUGUUACACUCAGUAAAUGGAUUAAGUGCUUUUUUUCCUGGCCCAACUCUACCGUUCUGGAAUGCAGAGAUUGGAUUCGGUUUGACAGGCAGGCGCUUCAAGAGGAGGUGAAGGCAGCUUGAGGAGGUCGAGUGAGGCUAACGUGGGAAGAAGUGAAGCGAAAUGCUAACAGACACAGCCCACUGCUCUUCCCCUCUGGCAGGACAACUCUCCAUAACCCUACCCAGACCUCGCUGCAUCCCCCAUCACUACAGAACCG
ensembl:lncRNA